rnacentral:rRNA from 1 species
CUACGGGGUGCUGCAGUAAGGAAUAUUGGACAAUGGAGGAAACUCUGAUCCAGCCAUGCCGUGUGAGUGAUGAAGGCCUUCGGGUUGUAAAGCUCUUUUAGGUGUGACGAUGAUGACGGUAACACCAGAAAAAGCCCCGGCUAACUUCGUGCCAGCAGCCGCGGUAAUACGAAGGGGGCGAGCGUUGUUCGGAAUCACUGGGCUUAAAGCGUACGUAGGCGGAUUAACAAGUCAGAAGUGAAAGCCCAGGGCUUAACCCUGGAAUUGCUUUUGAAACUGUUAGUCUGGAAUCCGGUAGAGGUUGGCGGAACUCCGAGUGUAGAGGUGACAUUCGCAGAUAUUCGGAAGAACACCAGUGGCGAAGGCGGCCAACUGGACCGGUAUUGACGCUGAGGUACGAAAGCGUGGGUAGCAAACAGGAUUAGAUACCCCUGUAGUC